rnacentral:rRNA from 1 species
UAGCGUUGUUCGGAAUUACUGGGCGUAAAGCGCGUGUAGGUGGUUGUCCUAGUCAGGCGUGAAAGCCUUGAGCUCAACUCAAGAAAUGCGCUUGAUACUGGGCAGCUAGAGGACCGGAGAGGAUAGUGGAAUUCCCAGUGUAGUGGUGAAAUACGUAGAGAUUGGGAAGAACACCAGUGGCGAAGGCGGCUAUCUGGACGGUUUCUGACACUAAGACUCGAAAGCGUGGGGAGCAAACAGG